AUUGAACGCUGGCGGCAGGCCUAACACAUGCAAGUCGAGCGGAGUGGCGGACGGGCGUGUAAUGCCUAGGAAUCUGCCUGUCAGUGUGGGAUAACGUCCGGCAACGGGCGCUUAUCCCGCAUACUAUCAGCAGAGCCUCGGUCGGAUUAGCACGUUGGUGGGGUAAAGGCCUACCAAGGCGACGAUCCGUAACUGGUCUGAGAGGAUGAUCAGUCACACUGGAACUGAGACACGGUCCAGACUCCUACGGGAGGCAGCAGUGGGGAAUAUUGGACAAUGGGCGAAAGCCUGAUCCAGCCAUGCCGCGUGUGUGAAGAAGGUCUUCGGAUUGUAAAGCACUUUAAGUUGGGAGGCGUUACCAACAGAAUAAGCACCGGCUAACUACGUGCCAGCCGCCGCGGUAAUUC
rnacentral:rRNA from 1 species